CAGGCUGAUGACUUCGAAGAGAUCCU
rnacentral:piRNA from 1 species